GCAAUAUUGAUCCACACAUUUUACAACUUUCUGUUUUCUUUUAAUUUUCAUGCUGAUCCAAACUACAAAACAACAACAUACUCAGUAUAUUUGUGAGUUCGAAAGGAUAUCGCAAGACCAACAGACUCAAGUAGAACACUCGUAUUGAUUCAAACUAUAUCACAUAAGUUGAAACUGUGGCAAGAGAUCACAUCCAUGGAGAUUCAAAACACAGAGUAUUACUUAUCAAAUCACCAUUUGAGGAAAACAGAAAACAACACAGAGAACUAUCGAUCAAUUAUCAUAAGUACGACAUUCAUCAGUUUCCGGAUUAUCCUUGCAGUAAUUCUCCAAUGGAUCAGAUGAUUCCUUCUUCCUAUCCCUUGCAUGACUUGCUGCUGCACUUGCCUCUUCCACCACAUCCCAUGCUGCUGCACAUUCACCGCUCACCGGAUCGUCAGCACACGCUUGUUCUGCUUCUUUGACACUCUCCGCGACUAAAUCAGAUAGCUUGUUAUCCGGUGUUGCUGAUAAUGGUGCUACGUACAUCUUUCUGUUCUUGUUCUUCCAUGGAUUGUUUAGUGUUGGGAAGUUGAAGGGAUGGAUUUUCGGGAAAUCGGAUGAUUUGGAGAGGAUUGCUGGAGUUGUGAGAUUAACACCAGCUAUGGAAGAAGCCAUUUUUUUUGCUAUGGUAA
rnacentral:lncRNA from 1 species